UGGGGGAAUUUUGGACAAUGGGCGAAAGCCUGAUCCAGCAAUGCCGCGUGUGUGAAGAAGGCCUUCGGGUUGUAAAGCACUUUUGUCCGGAAAGAAAUCCUUGGCUCUAAUACAGUCGGGGGAUGACGGUACCGGAAGAAUAAGCACCGGCUAACUACGUGCCAGCAGCCGCGGUAAUACGUAGGGUGCAAGCGUUAAUCGGAAUUACUGGGCGUAAAGCGUGCGCAGGCGGUUUGCUAAGACCGAUGUGAAAUCCCCGGGCUCAACCUGGGAACUGCAUUGGUGACUGGCAGGCUAGAGUAUGGCAGAGGGGGGUAGAAUUCCACGUGUAGCAGUGAAAUGCGUAGAGAUGUGGAGGAAUACCGAUGGCGAAGGCAGCCCCCCUGGGCCAAUACUGACGCUCAUGCACGAAAGCGUGGGGGAGCAAACAGGAUUAGAUACCCUGGUAGUCCACGCCCUAAACGAUGUCAACUAGUUGUUGGGGAUUCAUUUCCUUAGUAACGUAGCUAACGCGUGAAGUUGACCGCCUGGGGAGUACGGUCGCAAGAUUAAAACUUAAAUGAAUUGACGGGGUCAUAGCUG
rnacentral:rRNA from 1 species